UUCUGGAUAGCUCAGUUGGUUACAGCAUGGUGUUGAUAAUGCCAAGGUUGCAGGUUCAAUCCUUGUAUGGGAU
rnacentral:tRNA from 1 species